rnacentral:rRNA from 1 species
AAACGAUGAACACUAGGUGUCGGGGGAAUCGACCCUUUCGGUGUCGUAGCUAACGCGUUAAGUGUUCCGCCUGGGGAGUACGCACGCAAGUGUGAAACUCAAAGGAAUUGACGGGGGCCCGCACAAGCGGUGGAGUAUGUGGUUUAAUUCGAUGCAACGCGAAGAACCUUACCAGGGUUUGACAUCCUGCGAACCUCUUAGAAAUUUGAGGGUGCCUUCGGGAAUGCAGUGACAGGUGGUGCAUGGCUGUCGUCAGCUCGUGUCGUGAGAUGUUGGGUUAAGUCCCGCAACGAGCGCAACCCACGUUUUUAGUUGCCAGCAUUUAGUUGGGCACUCUAGAAAGACCGCCGGUGAUAAACCGGAGGAAGGUGUGGAUGACGUCAAGUCAUCAUGCCCCUUACACCCUGGGCUACACACGUACUACAAUGCUACGGACAAAGGGCAGCAAACUCGCGAGAGCUAGCAAAUCCCAUAAACCGUGGCUCAGUUCAGAUCGUAGGCUGCAACUCGCCUACGUGAAGUAGGAAUCGCUAGUAAUCGCAGGUCAGCAUACUGCGGUGAAUACGUUCCCGGGCCUUGUACACACCGCCCGUCACACCAUGGAAGUUGGCCAUGCCCGAAGUCGUUACUCCAACCCUUGUGGAGGAGGACGCCGAAGGUGGGGCUAAUGACUGGGGUGAAGUCGUAACAAGGUAGCCGUA